CAGCAGCCGCGGGAAUACGUAGGUGGCAAGCGUUGUCCGGAAUUAUUGGGCGUAAAGGGCACGCAGGCGGUUUCUUAAGUCUGAUGUGAAAGCCCCCGGCUCAACCGGGGAGGGUCAUUGGAAACUGGGAAACUUGAGUGCAGAAGAGGAGAGUGGAAUUCCACGUGUAGCGGUGAAAUGCGUAGAGAUGUGGAGGAACACCAGUGGCGAAGGCGACUCUCUGGUCUGUAACUGACGCUGAGGAGCGAAAGCGUGGGGAGCGAACAGGAUUAGAUACCCGUGUAGUCCCUGUCUCUUAUAC
rnacentral:rRNA from 1 species